GACCGAUGGAUUCGUUCACGAAGAUAGUUUGGCUGGUGGUCUUGAACCAAUGGAGGAUGAAGAGUUGCUGGUGUUGGAUCUUCCG
rnacentral:ribozyme from 1 species